UACGAAGGGGGCUAGCGUUGUUCGGAAUUACUGGGCGUAAAGCGCGCGCAGGCGGUUUUUCAAGUCAGUGGUGAAAGCCCGGAGCUCAACUCCGGAACUGCCAUUGAAACUGUGAAUCUUGAGGAUGAGAGAGGUGAGUGGAAUUCCCAGUGUAGAGGUGAAAUUCGUAGAUAUUGGGAAGAACACCGGUGGCGAAGGCGGCUCACUGGCUCAUUUCUGACGCUCAGGCGCGACAGCGUGGGGAUCAAACAGG
rnacentral:rRNA from 1 species